rnacentral:misc_RNA from 1 species
UGGCGGACGGGUGAGUAAAGCGUGAGAAUCUGCCUCUAGGUCGGGGACAACAGUUGGAAACGACUGCUAAUCCCGGAUGAGCCUGCGGGUAAAAGAUUAAUUGCCUAGAGAGGAGCUCGCGUCUGAUUAGCUAGUUGGUGAGGUAAAGGCUCACCAAGGCGACGAUCAGUAGCUGUUCUGAGAGGAAGAACAGCCACACUGGGACUGAGACACGGCCCAGACUCCUACGGGAGGCAGCAGUGGGGAAUUUUCCGCAAUGGGCGAAAGCCUGACGGAGCAAUACCGCGUGAGGGAAGAAGGCCUUUGGGUCGUAAACCUCUUUUCUCAGGGAAGAAGUUCUGACGGUACCUGAGGAAAAAGCCUCGGCUAACUCCGUGCCAGCAGCCGCGGUAAUACGGAGGAGGCAAGCGUUAUCCGGAAUUAUUGGGCGUAAAGCGUCCGUAGGUGGCCUUUCAAGUCUGCGGUUAAAAACCAGAGCUCAACUCUGGGGGGGCCGUGGAAACUGAGAAGCUAGAGUACAGUAGGGGUAGAGGGAAUUCCCAGUGUAGCGGUGAAAUGCGUAGAGAUUGGGAAGAACACCGGUGGCGAAAGCGCUCUACUGGGCUUGUACUGACACUGAGGGACGAAAGCUAGGGGAGCAAAAGGGAUUAGAUACCCCUGUAGUCCUAGCCGUAAACGAUGGAAACUAGGCGUAGCCUGUAUCAACUCAGGCUGUGCCGAAGCUAACGCGUUAAGUUUCCCGCCUGGGGAGUACGCACGCAAGUGUGAAACUCAAAGGAAUUGACGGGGGCCCGCACAAGCGGUGGAGUAUGUGGUUUAAUUCGAUGCAACGCGAAGAACCUUACCAGGGCUUGACAUCCCGCGAAUCCUGCCGAAAGGUGGGAGUGCCUAAGGGAACGCGGAGACAGGUGGUGCAUGGCUGUCGUCAGCUCGUGUCGUGAGAUGUUGGGUUAAGUCCCGCAACGAGCGCAACCCUCGUCCUUAGUUGCCAUCAUUAAGUUGGGAACUCUAGGGAGACUGCCGGGGACAACUCGGAGGAAGGUGGGGAUGACGUCAAGUCAGCAUGCCCCUUACGUCCUGGGCUACACACGUACUACAAUGGUUGAGACAAAGGGCAGCGAACUCGCAAGAGCCAGCGAAUCCCAGCAAACUCAGCCCCAGUUCAGAUUGCAGGCUGCAACUCGCCUGCAUGAAGUAGGAAUCGCUAGUAAUCGCCGGUCAGCAUACGGCGGUGAAUCCGUUCCCGGGCCUUGUACACACCGCCCGUCACACCAUGGAAGCUGGCAACAUCCGAAGUCGUUACUCCAACCGUUCGCGGAGGAGGGCGCCGAAGGUGGGGCUAGUGACUGGGGUGAAGUCGUAACAAGGUAGCCGUACCGGAAGGUGUGGCUGGAUCACCUCCUUUAAAGGGAGACCUGUUGAAUGGAGAGAAAACCCAAGAAAAUCCAUUCAAAUCACAAGCAGGUCAAGACAGGGGGACUAAACUUUCAAACUAUUAGAUGGGGUUCACCUAUCAAAGAAAAGGGCUAUUAGCUCAGGUGGUUAGAGCGCACCCCUGAUAAGGGUGAGGUCCCUGGUUCGAGUCCAGGAUGGCCCACCACCCCGAAAAAAGAGACCCAGCAAUUGAGUGACUCAACCUGCUGGAUUCUCGAAUCCAGUCCAGAACCUUGAAAACUGCAUAGAAGAAAAAAGAGCAACUCAAAAUAGAGAAAGCUGGAAUCAAUCGCAAGAGAGAAGAGAGCGAGAAACUAUGAGUAGGGAGCUCACAGACAAUC